UGAGUCAGUGAUGCCAUCCAACCAUCUUGUCCUCUGUCAUCCCCUUCUCCUCCUGCCGUCAAUCUUUCGCAGCAUUGCAGGCUGUUUUACCCUCAGUCCCAGAAUUCCUCAACGAUCGGAAGCAAGACAAGGGUGACCACGCCGUCCACUAUUAUUCAAUAUAUCAGCUGAUAUUAUUUUAUUGUAAUUUUAAGUGUCAAUGGGUUCGGUGAAAGUUCUCACAACGGGCUCUCUGAAGGGCUCAGAUGCAGUUUGAAUCAGCCAACCGGCACAAGCGGAGGAGAAACAACAAUACCAGCCACUUCUUGCGGCAAAAGGCUUCCCGUCACUUUAUGGAAGCGCGAAGGGCAGAGGAAAAACCGGCCCGGCGACACUGUGGAGCAACACUGCCACCUGCAGGCCACAGAAACCAAAACGCCGCAAGCCCGGAAGAAAAGUCAUCGUUCCUGCUGGGUUUUCGCGCAGAGGACUGGACGGCGGGGAUGCGAGAGUUAAGGGAGAUGCCCGUAAGGACGAGAGAAAGGAAAGGAAUCUCUCGAAGGGGUCCGGCCAAACCACCCCUGGACUGCGAGCCGUCCGGGGAACCAUAGCAACGCGGGCAGGAAGUCAGGGAGUCCGGGAAGAUCCGGAGGUUGGUGGGCGGGGCUGCACUCCGAUUGGCUGGCUCUGGGCCUGCGCGCAGCUACCCAGUGAGGCCCGUGCCAGUCUCCCGGCCCUGGUCGGCUGGGCGUUUUCUCGGGGACCCUGUUGGGCACUCUCCACUGAAGAACCUGACCGGUGACGUCCGGGUCCUGUCGCCCACUGCCGAAGCCUCCCACGUGCGGGAACGUUGCAAGUCCCCUGUCCAUUCUCCUCCCUCCCACCCCCGGCCUGUGAACGCGUUCCUCCCCGUGGUACACUCACUGUUCUCUCAGCCCUCACUCUUCUGAUCCGUCCUCAGUGCCCACGAGGCUCACCCGGUCACCCCGGAGACUCUCCGUCCUUAGCGAUGCUCCCUUCCUCCCCACCCGAGCAUCCCUCUGCCCACGGUCCCGCCCCGGACAUCAGGAAAGACCGCGGCCCUCGUGGUGUCCUCUUUGUAGCAUUCCUCCCUGUCAUCACCCUCAACAUGACGUCCUGUCCUCCAGCUCCUUCGCACUAGUGCCAGUGCACUGAUGCCACAACCUGCUGGAGACCUCCAGCUCACCGACCACGCGUCCUUUCACACCAUGCGCCAGGCCCCUCCUCGAUCGGCUGAGCCAGGCCUGGAAGCUGUCCGCCGCAAACACACCUCUCCCCCCGCAAACACACCUCUUGUGCUCCUUGCACCCUCCUGCCUACCCACUCCCUGCCUGUGUCUGAGCAUCGAGGAGAAAACUUUACAACUUUA